AACCAAAACUAAAAAAAAAAAAAAACAACCCAAAAAAACCCCUACUUCAGGGCAUAAACUCAUGGUGAAAUGUACAUGGUGGAGCAAAGCUGCUGGUAUCAUGGCAUCCAGGAAGCAGAACUAGAGCAAGGGAAGGGCCAGCAGCAAGAUUCAUUCCCCAGUGACACACUCUGACAGACCCAAUUCCUUAAACCAAGUACCACCUCCCAAGUUACCAUCACCUCCCAGGAGCCAAUUAUGGACCCAUCAAUGGAUUAAGCUAUUAAUGAAGUCUGAGCCCUCGUGAUCCACUCACUUCCUCUGCCCCAUCUCUGAACAGGGCUGCAAUGGUGGCAAGCCUUCAACAUAGGAGCCUCUGGGAGAUAUUUCAAACACAGCCAUGGCAGUGAGGGAGGAGCCUGAAAGGAGGGUGCAACUUGGUGACAGAGUUGGAAGGGAUAGGCUUAGAGGGGAUCAGUUCAGAAGACAGGAAGGGAUAAAACAUAUGGAAUUUGGUGAUGGUGUGUUCACUGUCCAUUGCUACAUAAAGCAGUACAGAAACAGUGCCUUAACCACAUUCAUUUGUUAUCUCCCCAUUUCCACACAUCAGGAUGGCAGACAUAACAGAGGCCUCUGGGGGCUGGAGAGAUGACUCAGUGGUUGAGAGCACUGACUGCUCUUGCAGAGGACCCAGGGGAAGAGUCUUCAUGGGUGCCAUCACAGCCCUGUGUAAAAGAAAUAGAUGCACCCCCGCAUAGACAUCCCAUCAGUUUUGUUGGAUUCUAUGUGCCAGAGCAAGUCACAAGUCUGCCUACAUUCAAAUGGAGCAGUGAGAGACCUAAGUGACUCCAUCUUGGAUAAAACCUCCAUAGGACUGACCCAGCCCUGGGCCAUGUUCCAAGAAAAACCACAAUACUUGGAAUGGAUAGAGAGCAACUCUUCCGCCAAUGGUCAAUUAACCAGGAACAGGAAAGUACUAAAAGUCCAAAUGUCUUUUCAGAGUUCCUGAAGCCAGCAGUUUAUGGCUUGGCACUGGGCUGCAACCAAUCAGAUGCUUGCCAGGCUGGAGACCCCCUACCCCCCUACUUGCUGAACUUGCUGAAAUAAACCUAUAAAAAACUCUGUCUCCCAAAGCAAGGGGUCUGUCUCACUUCUGAGAUCCUCUAGGUCGGUGACAGAGUGGGCCCAAGCUUAAGCUUGUAACAAUAAAAGAACCCUUGUGUAUUUGCA